rnacentral:piRNA from 1 species
GCUUUAAGACUUUGUUUUGAGAGUGGAA